GACGAACGCUGGCGGCGUGCUUAACACAUGCAAGUCGAACGGAAAGGCCCCUUUGGGGGUCCUCGAGUGGCGAACGGGUGAGUAACACGUGAGUAACCUGCCCUUGACUUCGGGAUAACUUCAGGAAACUGGGGCUAAUACCGGAUAGGAAUCCUUGCUGCAUGGUGGGGGUUGGAAAGCUUCGGCGGUUUUGGAUGGACUCACGGCUUAUCAGCUUGUUGGUGGGGUAGUGGCUUACCAAGGCUUUGACGGGUAGCCGGCCUGAGAGGGCGACCGGCCACACUGGGACUGAGAUGCGGCCCAGACUCCUACUGGAGGCCGCAGUGGGGAAUCUUGCACCAUGGGCGGAAGCCUGAUGCAGCAACGCCGCGUGCGGGAUGACGGCCUUCGGGUUGUAAACCGCUUUCAGCAGGGGCGAAGCUUGUGGUGACGGUACCUGCAGAAGAAGCACCGGCUAACUACGUG
rnacentral:rRNA from 1 species